GCCUGUAUCUCUACUUCGUGAUUUGCCAACUUUGGUACCCACUGAUUCCCUGUAAGAUGAGGAACUGAGCUCAUUUAAAUCCCUACCUCUGCUUGAGUUGUUAUAGUCACAUUAUUUUUCUAUCAACUUUCGAAGGUAUCAGAUUACUCCAUCAGAGGAGGAAGUCAGCUCUCCUAUGUGACCUUUCGCCUUCCCGGUCCCUCCCUCCCAUACCGCUUCACAUUUUGUUCACCCUUCACCCCACUCAUACCUAGUUUCCACUCCAUUUAUCCCACCGACGUUGCUGCAAUAAUCAGUGACAACCUAGUUUUCAGAGCCAAUGACUAAUUCUCUGUGAUCUAAUUUUACCUCGCAGCAACGUCUGGCCACUUCCUGUCGUCGUUCGAAACUCUCUCCUUUCGGUCCCUCUCACCCACUCUCUCCUGGCGCGUGUCCCACUGCCCUGGCCACACCUCAGGCCUGCGGGGACCUCUGACUCCCCGUCUGCUCUCUCACUGUCACAGCGCCUGGCAUGGCCAUCCUUCGUCCUUUCACAGACGCCUUAAGAUGUCCUACGCUCAGGCUGGCAACUGCCACCUGCUGCCUGCUCAUGAUGCUCCAAGAACAUCAGAACAGGCCAUAGAUCUACCUCCUGGAUGGCUCUGAUCUCAAAUU